GACCACUAGUAUGAAACUCAGGGAUAGGGGAAAUAUAAUGCCAAGUUAUAACCAUUUCAAACCCACUGUACAUGUUCUCAUACAUGCAUACAUAUAUAUAAUAGAUGUUGGGGUAGGGAAUAAGAUUUACCAUGAUAGUAAAACAUUAUCCUGGGUUAUGUAGCUCAAUCGUCAUAAACAGUCACCCAAGGGCUAUAUGGGAUCAGCUCCCCCUACUGAAAGUGCCCCACUGCGUC
rnacentral:lncRNA from 1 species